CUGCCCAGCUCUCCAGUCUGUCCAGGUCUUGUUGGAUGGCAGCACAGCCUU
rnacentral:miRNA from 7 species